CCCUUAGAUGUUCUGGGCCGCACGCGCGCUACACUGAUGCAUUCAACGAGUCUAAAACCUGCUCUGAUAGGGGUGGGUAAUCUUUUGAAUGUGCAUCGUGAUUGGGAUAGAUGAUUGCAAUUUUUCAUCUUCAACGAGGAAUGCCUAGUAAACGCAAGUCAUCAGCUUGCAUUGAUUACGUCCCUGCCCUUUGUACACACCGCCCGUCGCUCCUACCGAUUGAAUGAUCCGAUGAAUAUCAUGGAUUGAGGAUUAUAGCAGGUUCGCCUGUCUUGAUCUUCGAGAAGUGAAGUAAAUCUUAUCAUUUAGAGGUAGGAGAAGUCGUAACA
rnacentral:rRNA from 1 species